rnacentral:rRNA from 1 species
UACGAAGGGGGCUAGCGUUGUUCGGAAUCACUGGGCGUAAAGGGCGCGUAGGCGGCCGAUCAAGUCGGGGGUGAAAGCCUGUGGCUCAACCACAGAAUUGCCUUCGAUACUGUUUGGCUUGAGACCGGAAGAGGUUAGUGGAACUGCGAGUGUAGAGGUGAAAUUCGUAGAUAUUCGCAAGAACACCAGUGGCGAAGGCGACUUCCUGGCCUGUUCUUGACGCUGAGGCACGAAAGUGUGGGGAGCAAACAGG